rnacentral:lncRNA from 1 species
UUUUUGCCAAAUUUCUCUAUUGGGCCAUAAUGGCGAGUCUCUUCUUUUGAAAUUUCUUUUUGUACCUUUAUAACUUAUGUAAGAAAAAUUAGAGAAGAGGGAGGAGAAGAAUGAGAAGCAUGGGCAUAUAAUUAAAUGCACAUCACAUGUUUGUCUAAAGUUCCAUAAUGAGACACAACCACCCACUUUGCCAUCUUCCUCUUUUACCUUUCUCUCUUUUGUUCCCCAUCAACCUAAAAUUAUCAUUCCUUUUCAUCAUCAUUCUACCUAUCCAUUAAAUCCUAUUACAUUGCAAAUUAACUUAUUCUCUCAUCUCAACCUUUUCACCAUUCUUCUUCCAUCAAUUCCGCCUUUUCUUUCUCUUUUCAUCACUUCAAUACAUCUUUUAUGUGCUUCUAACUUUUACAAAUUCUUAAUACCUACACUCUUUAUCAAACAUCUUAUAAUGUGCACAAGGACAAUCUCUCUCUCUCUCUCUCCAUAUAUCUAUGAUUGUGGAGAAUC